UGAUCGGAGCUAUUUCUUCUGUUGUUACUUUGUUAUGUUUCAAAAUAAGUUAAAUUAGGUCCAAAUUAAUUUUUGGUUCUUGAUUGAUCAUUUUGGGAGAAAUCUAAUGGCAAAAAUGGUUCAAGAUUCCAUCAAACCUCAAGAUGUAUGCAUUGUGGGUGUUGCCCGAACGCCUAUGGGUGGUUUCCUUGGUUCUCUCUCGUCUUUGUCUGCUACAGAGCUUGGUUCUGCAGCAAUCCGAGCUGCCCUUAAGAGAGCAAAUGUAGAUCCAUCCCUUGUUCAAGAGGUCUUCUUUGGAAAUGUUCUCAGCGCAAACUUAGGUCAAGCCCCAGCUAGACAGGCUGCCUUAGGAGCUGGGAUACCUUAUUCAGUGAUUUGCACAACCAUUAACAAAGUGUGUUCUUCAGGACUUAAAGCAACAAUGAUUGCAGCCCAGACUAUACAAUCAGGAGCCAAUGAUAUCGUUGUGACUGGUGGCAUGGAAAGCAUGUCUAAUGUACCAAAAUACCUAGCUCAAGCAAGGAAGGGGUCUCGUCUAGGGCAUGAUACUGUUGUAGAUGGCAUGCUAAAAGAUGGACUCUGGGAUGUCUAUAAUGAUUUCGGCAUGGGCGUCUGUGCAGAACUAUGUGCUGAUCAGUAUAAAAUUACAAGAGAAGAGCAGGAUUCUUAUGCUAUUCAAAGCUUUGAGCGAGGAAUUGCUGCACAACGUACUGGUGCAUUUGCUUGGGAAAUAGUACCAGUAGAAAUUUCUGGUGGAAGAGGAAGACCAUCUAGUGUUGUCGAUAAAGAUGAAGGCUUAAUAAAGUUUGAUGCCUCCAAACUAAGAAAGCUUAGACCAAGUUUCAAGGAGAAUGGAGGUUCUGUUACUGCAGGCAAUGCUUCCAUUAUAAGUGAUGGCGCUGCAGCAUUAGUUCUGGUGAGUGGAAAAAAGGCGAUUGAACUUGGAUUGCAAGUAAUCGGUAGGAUCAGAGGAUUUGCAGAUGCAGCUCAGGCACCUGAAUUAUUUCCAACAGCUCCAGCUCUUGCUAUACCAAAAGCAAUUAAGAAUUCUGGCCUUGAGUCAUCUCAAAUUGAUUAUUAUGAAAUAAACGAAGCGUUCUCUGUUGUGGCUCUGGCCAACCAAAGACUGCUCAAUCUUAAUUCGGGAAAACUAAAUGCACACGGUGGAGCUGUGUCAUUGGGACAUCCUCUAGGGUGCAGUGGAGCUAGAAUUCUGGUAACUCUUUUAGGGGUAUUGAAGCAAAAGAAUGCGAAAUUUGGU
rnacentral:misc_RNA from 1 species